UACGUAGGGGGCAAGCGUUGUCCGGAUUUAUUGGGCGUAAAGAGCGUGUAGGCGGUUUGGUAGGUCCGCUGUGAAAACUCGAGGCUCAACCUCGAGACGCCGGUGGAAACCAUCAGGCUAGAGUCCGGAAGAGGAGAGUGGAAUUCCUGGUGUAGCGGUGAAAUGCGUAGAGAUCAGGAAGAACAUCGGUGGCGAAGGCGCUCUGCUGGACCAUAACUGACACUCAGGGACGAAAGCUAGGGGAGCGAAUGGG
rnacentral:rRNA from 1 species